UCCGGGUCUCCCGGGGCCCCCGGCCCUAACGGGCGCCCGCCGGAGGUAUCUAACUCUUGAAAUUGUAUGGCCUCUCUGAGUAUUGUACUUAAUAAGUCAAAACUUUCAACAACGGAUCUCUUGGUUCUGGCAUCGAUGAAGAACGCAGCGAAAUGCGAUAAGUAAUGUGAAUUGCAGAAUUCAGUGAAUCAUCGAAUCUUUGAACGCACAUUGCGCCCGCCAGUAUUCUGGCGGGCAUGCCUGUUCGAGCGUCAUUUCA
rnacentral:rRNA from 1 species